rnacentral:lncRNA from 1 species
ACAUUGAUGUGCUUUCUGGCUCCAAGAAAGAUUAUAAACUGAACUUCUUUUCCCAUAAGGAGGGAAUCUAUACUGCAAAGGUGACCUUCCGAAACGAGGCGACCGGUGAGUUCCUGUUCUACACGGUGAGUUUCAAGGUCACCCCUUCAGGCACCAUCAAAACCAUCAAGAUGACAACCCCUGUCCGGCAGAGUACGUCAGCCUCCAUUAAGCUGGAGAACCCCCUACCCUACUCGGUGACCUUCUCCACGGAAUGCAAGUUGUCUGACAUCAGCCUGCCCUCCCAGUUUGCUGUGCCCGCCAACUCCGAGGGUACAUUCUCAUUUGAAUUCCAGCCCCUGAAAGCUGGUGAAACCUUAGGGAAACUAACUUUGUACAACAGUGAUUUAGGUUACUACCAGUAUGAGCUCAAUUUGAAGGCUGUGCCGGCGCCUCCUGAAAAGCCCAUCCGCUUCCAGACUGUUCUUGGCAGCAGCCAAAGUAUCGUUGCAAAGUUCACCAAUUACACGCGGCAGAAGACAGAGUACUUCUCCAAGACAGACUGUCAGGACUUCCACACAGAAAAAGUCAUCAGCGCACCCCCAGGAGCCCAGGGAGGCACUGAAGUGGGCGUGGAAGUCUUCUUUGAGCCCAGCCACCUGGGUGAGACCAAGGGCACCCUGACCCUGACAUCGAUUCUAGGUGGGGAAUAUACCAUCCCCCUCUUCGGAAUGGCUCUACCCCCCAAGCCCCAGGGCCCCUUCGUGAUCAGAGCCGGGUACAACAUAGUCAUCCCCUUCAAGAACAUCUUCCUGCAAACGGCCAGCUUCUCCUUCUUUGUGGAUAACCCAGCCUUCACCAUCCGUGCUGCGGAGACUGUGCGGCCCAGGAAGGCCAACAACAUCACCGUCUCCUUCGAAGGAAACCCAUCCGGCAGCAAAACCCCCAUCACCACAAGGCUGACUGUAACCUGCCCUACCCGUGAAGGCAGCGAAGCAGGGAUUAAAUGGGUUUAUUACCUGAAGGGAAUCACUCCUUAGUGCAAAGCUGGGUUACCUGCACCUACUAAAAACCACCUCCUCGGCUCAAGAGCCACGCCUCAUCCCAGCCUGAUAAAGAAUAAAGUAGAACAUAGGAAUUCUAAAGGGACGACACCCUCACUUAAUCAUCAGGGCAGUUACUGCUAUAUAUUCUUAAAACUGCUAUAAAUUAUUGAUUUCAUAUUAAGCGUUAGAGCUACAUGCAACAGAUCUUUAUCUGAGAUAAUUCAAUCCAUGCAAGCUCCUGAAUUUUAUUUCUCGAUCUAUCUCCUAGCUCAAGCACUGUGUAAUGAUAUCUUUUUUUUAAACAAAGAUACAGGUAUCAGACUCGUGACCUUCUCCACACAACUCGUAGCAGGGCCGGCCUCCAGGGCGCUGCAAUUUCCUUGUAAAAUCUAAAGGCCCCGUAGGUAUGAGAUUAUUUUGAUGUGAUACAUUAUUCUACUUUCACAU